CAGGUUUUAGCUUGGGUUUCCAGUACAGAGAGUCAUCAGCGGGAUGAGUCAGAUGAAAAAGAAAAUCAACCUAGUACUUCCCGGACUUACCAGUCAGUGAGUUCACCAGACAAGAUGGACAGUUUUUCAGGCAUAUUUGAUGGUAUCCUGUAACUCCAAAUGUCUGGCACCAGUACUUCAGUCUGAUAUUCACUAAUGUAAUAUGGUUUGAGUUGUUAAUGCAUAUUAAUAUUGUAUUGUCAUUGUUGAUAUUUUACAGAAACCUGUGAUAAUGUGUAGGAGAUUUUUAAUGCCUAACACAAAACUGUGAUAAUGGAUAUAAUGUUUUAAUGCUUUACAGGAAACGUUGGUACAGGGUAUCGAUUUAAAUGUCUUUCGAAAGCUGUGAUACUUAUUUUAUUUUCUGUGCCUUGCUGUAUUUUUCUCUCUCCAUUCAGAAAUUGUUAACAUUUGAAAACCUGGUUAUCACCCCCAUUGUCUGGAGUAUCUACAAAUGCUUUAUACAUUUAUAUGGAAACGCCACCCUUCAUGUUUCAGAAAUUUCUCGAGAAAGACAGAGUUAUGGCCCAUUGUAGUUAUUUAAUGCAACUCUUUCUCGUAUGUAGUGCUUGUAUUUCAUUUUACGCCCUUCCGGAGUCGGUACAAAAAUCGGAUGUCCUAAGAGAAACAAGGUUUAUGGCCAUUUAUACUUAUAUACAUGUAAUUUAUGUAUAUUUCUGAGUGGUUUUAUUUUAUUUCUUGUAUGACAGAGCCGUGAUAUGCCAUUGAACAAAACAUGGCAGAAAUGCAAACUCAACUGCUACAGGGCAAUGCGUCGCUAUAAGUUACCUGUAGCUUGGCCGAGUAUUGGAAGUUUUAUUUCAAUAUUUCGGCCAAAAUUUUACUGGACCAAAAUGAAAAACUUUUAUAGGCAGACCGCCCGUCUCUCCACCCGCACACCAAACGACAUAGCUAAUUUAAUAAUAUUUUUUGUUUUCAGUUUUGAAAAGCCUGGUUCAUAACUCAUUUAUGCAAAUCUUGUCAACUUACGGCCGUUGUAUUGCGAGCAGCUUUUGAAUGCAGACAAUAUUUUCAGGACUUUCUUGUCUGAUUAUUAUUUUUUGGUCUGUUCCUUUUUUUGGACUUUUAUUACAAAUAAGUCUGUAUCUGUGUACUCGUGCCCUACAGUUUCCACCCAAUUCAAAUGAAACGUGUUAUCCACCAUCAACUACUUUUUUAAUAAAAUUUCAUGUAUUUUCUUUUUUGAACUUUCGGCCCCGUUUUGAUGUUAUAUUUUAUUGUCAAGCAUUUUCAUGGGGCAUGUGUCAAACAAUGUGACAUUAUCUUUUUUUGUUAAUAGAAAGGAGCCAUUUAGAUGCGUUAGGGUUAAGGUUACUGGUAUAUUUUCCUUCUUGGAUCAUCAUAAAUGUGGCUUCCAUUUAAAAGUUUAGUUAGGAUUGACAUACCGUCACCAAAAUUAGUGUAUAGCAAAUUUAUUUUAAGAACUAGCUUGGAUUGUUUUGGGUGUUACUGUUACUAAAACAGAAAAAUAGUUUUCUCAACUCUAAUUAGGACUCCAGUUAGGAAUAUAUUGCGAUAGAACUUUGAAUGUAGAUACAGGAAUGUUGUGGAAUUGUUUUUUUUGUGGCCACUGGGGUCAAGGGCAUUGUAAGGUCAAAGCCACUAUUUAUCAAAUAUAGGAAAUGUUUGAAAAACCAGAUUUUUUUUCGUGGAAUUUUCACGUGUCUUAAUUAAUACAGUGCAAGGUAGAUGUACUAUAUAGUCUCCUGGAGAAAUCAUGAAAAAUGUCUAUAUUUCCCCCUUGCAUUUUAUGGCCCGCUAUCCGUAGUCGGUUCAUUUGUUUCGAUUGUCACAAAAAUCUUUUCCACACAUAUCGGAUUUCGAUAAAACUUCACGGCAGCAAUAUGUAUGAAGUGUUGUUUGAUUCAAUGCGCUCCUGAUUGUUUCUAAAAAAAUGACAUUGUUUAGCGGCGAAUUUUGUAUUACUCGCAUGGAAGAGGAAAAUGACGGAGGACAUGAUGUUAAAAUUUUAAUUGAAAAACAAUAUUUUAUACUUGUAUUAGUAUACUGUUUUUUUACAGGAACGUGGCAUCUUAAUUGUAACACUGCAUUAUAUUUAAAUCAUGAAUAAAUGCAGUUAUAAAGUAAUAUCUAUUUCUGUUGUUAAUGUCUUACAAGAUUAUAAUUUAAAUUAAAAUGUGAAAUAGUUUUGACACUUGCUGCAAACUUCUGUUGAUGUAGCAAUGUAACCAGACUACUAAAAUGUGUAUGUCUGUUGUUUAUGUCUAGUCAAUUUCCACCACACAGUGGCGUGGGGACAUAUUGAUUACUCCUGUCGGUGUGUCUGUCACAAAGCUUGUCGAACAUUUCUCAUCCGAUCUUCACCAAACUGGAACAAAAUGUGUUUGUCAAUAAGUCCUCGGCCAGGUUCAAUAACUAGCCAAAUCGGCCCAGGCACUUUGGAAUUAUGGCCCUUGAACAUAAUUAUCGAUACAGAGUUGUAGACCGGUUACUCCAACUCCAACAGAUACCAAUAGACUGCAAACAGUAUAUAAAGACAGACGCGCUAUUCAGAUGAUUAGGUGUGUCUGAAGUCAUUCGUCCUCCACCUCUGAUAAUUCAUGUGGGGAAGUUGGCAGUUACUUGCGGAGAACAUGUUUGUACUGGUACAGAAUCCAGGAACACUGGUUAGGUUAACUGCCCGCCGUUAUAUGACUGAAAUACUGUUGAAAAACUGGCGUUAAACCCAAAACAAACAAACAAAUCAGAUGAUUAGGUAGUCGUGGGAAACAUGCACUUUUCUCAAAAGCACCUCUGGUUGUAACUGAAUUGUUAAUGCCAUAUGUAUUACUAUGUUGUUAUUCGUGUUGUUAAUGCUGAUAACAGUAUUUGAUAAAGAAACAUGUAUUCUGUAAUAAACAAUUGUGUUUCAGGUUUUGUCAAAAAUGAAAGAAAUAAAGUGUCCACUUCCUCUGUC